CGGGGUUCGAAUUUUAGGCGUGCUUUGUACAUACCAACGAGUUUUCGACGAAAUAUUAUGUUCCUAUAGUAUCUACCUGUACUGAAUACCGAGUGUUUUAAACAUUAAGAAAAACAUUGCGAGGAAGCUUGUAAGACUGUCCUAUUUCCAAUACAUCAUAUAGUUGAAAUUAUAGAUGUAUAAAAUAUAACAAUUAUAGGUAUGUAAUGAAAAUAAAAAAAACUGAUUGUAGUUACAUACUACUAGUAACAUAUAUUGGAGCACUUUAAUACAAUUUUAUUGUAAAAUAUAAACAAUAUUCUUUUAUAGUUUGAAAUUAAUGAUUAACUCUUCACACUCAUUGUUCAUCAUGUGAUUGAACGAGAACUGAACGCAUCACUAUUACUUUAAAUAUAGCAACAUUAUUUCACAAAGUGACAUUAGCUACUGUCAGCUGGCUUCGUCUAAUUAAAAAUCCGACUAUAGGGGCGCUGUUCCAACUGCAUACAAAAUUGGGCUAACUUUUACGCUAACGAGAACGUUAAAAAAGUCGCACUAAGCAUAAUGAUAAUAAAAAUUCUGAUAUCAGGACAAUAGGUUUUCUUCUUAUGUCGGCUAGUUGGAUUAGAAGCCAGUCAAUCAGAAGUCGGAAACGAACAAUUCGCUAGAAAGACGAUGACGACGACGACUGUAGGUCCUCCUUCCAAGAAUUGCAGAUACUUUACUAUUAUUUGAUUUUUUUAUUAUUAAUUACGGAUAUUUAAUUCUAAAACAGGAUUAAAUAGAGUCAUUCGAUAUUUCAUUAUUUCUAUCCAUUUUAUGUGUACCUAACGUUUUCAAGAGAAACAAAACAAGUUUUAUAAUGAAAACGAUUUUUACAGUUUUAUAUCACCUUUAUUAUUCUGACGUUUUGAAUACUUUUGAUUUUCGUGAUCGCGGACGAAUAAAGCUCUUAAUUGUCGACAUUUUAAUGUGCUGACUACUACCAAAUCCAAAAAAAAUGAUGUUUUUGUUGACAUAAUCUUAAUUAUUUUCUUAACUUUUAUGCCUAUAUAUAGAAAAGCAAAAACGUUAUUAUUAAGUACAUAUAUUAUAUAAAUAUAA